GCGCCCGUAGCUCAGCUGGCAGAGCAGCGGACUCUUAAUCCGUUUGUCGAAGGUUCGAAUCCUUCCGGGCGCACCA
rnacentral:tRNA from 1 species